UUGGUGGGCUUCUCCUUCGGGACAGAUUACAGGUGGUGCAUGGUUGUGUCAGUGUGUCGUGAGAUGUUGGGUUAAGUCCCGCAACGAGCGCAACCCUUGAUCUUAGUUGCCAUCAUUAAGUUGGGCACUCUAAGGUGACUGCCGGUGACAAACCGGAGGAAGGUGGGGAUGACGUCAAAUCAUCAUGCCCCUUAUGACCUGGGCUACACACGUGCUACAAUGGACGGUACAAAGAGCUGCAAGACCGCGAGGUGGAGCUAAUCUCAUAAAACCGUUCUCAGUUCGGAUUGUAGGCUGCAACUCGCCUACAUGAAGCUGGAAUCGCUAGUAAUCGCGGAUCAGCAUGCCGCGGUGAAUACGUUCCCGGGCCUUGUACACACCGCCCGUCACACCACGAGAGUUUGUAACACCCGAAGUCGGUGGGGUAACCUUUUUGGAGCCAGCCGCCUAAGGUGGACAGAUGAUUGGGGGG
rnacentral:rRNA from 1 species